AUUGAACGCUGGCGGCAGGCCUAACACAUGCAAGUCGAACGAGUGGCGCACGGGUGAGUAAUGUCUGGGAAACUGCCUGAUGGAGGGGGAUAACUACUGGAAACGGUCGCUAAUACCGCAUACCCUCAGAUGCGCCCAGAUGGGUUUAGCUAGUUGGUGGGGUAACGGCUCACCAAGGCGACGAUCCCUAGCUGGUCUGAGAGGAUGACCAGCCACACUGGAACUGAGACACGGUCCAGACUCCUACGGGAGGCAGCAGUGGGGAAUAUUGCACAAUGGGCGCAAGCCUGAUGCAGCCAUGCCGCGUGUAUGAAGAAGGCCUUCGGGUUGUAAAGUACUUUCAGCGGGGAGGCGUUACCCGCAGAAGAAGCACCGGCUAACUCCGUGCCAGCAGCCGCGGUAAUAC
rnacentral:rRNA from 1 species